UACGUAGGGCGCAAGCGUUGUCCGGAAUUAUUGGGCGUAAAGAGUUCGUAGGCGGUUUGUCGCGUCCGUUGUGAAAGCCCAGGGCUCAACCCUGGGUCUGCAGUGGAUACGGGCAGACUAGAGUCAGGUAGGGGAGAACGGAAUUCCUGGUGUAGCGGUGAAAUGCGCAGAUAUCAGGAGGAACACCGGUGGCGAAGGCGGUUCUCUGGGCCCGUACUGACGCUGAGGAACGAAAGCGUGGGGAGCGAACAGG
rnacentral:rRNA from 1 species